CUUAGGCGUUGUUGGGUAGGGGAGCGUUCUGUAAGCCGUUGAAGGUGACCUGUGAGGGUUGCUGGAGGUAUCAGAAGUGCGAAUGCUGACAUAAGUAACGAUAAUGCGGGUGAAAAACCCGCACGCCGGAAGACCAAGGGUUCCUGUCCAACGUUAAUCGGGGCAGGGUGAGUCGACCCCUAAGGCGAGGCUGAAAAGCGUAGUCGAUGGGAAACAGGUUAAUAUUCCUGUACUUGGUGUUACUGCGAAGGGGGGACGGAGAAGGCUAGGCUAGCCGGGCGACGGUUGUCCCGGUUUAAGCAUGUAGGCGGAGUGACUUGGUAAAUCCGGUUGCUUAUCAACGCUGAGGUGUGAUGACGAGCCACUACGGUGGUGAAGUAGUUGAUGCCAAGCUUCCAGGAAAAGCCUCUAAGCAUCAGGUAACAUUAAAUCGUACCCCAAACCGACACAGGUGGUCAGGUAGAGAAUACUCAGGCGCUUGAGAGAACUCGGGUGAAGGAACUAGGCAAAAUGGUGCCGUAACUUCGGGAGAAGGCACGCUGGCAUUAGGUAAAGAGACUUGCUCUCGGCGCUGAAGCCAGUCGCAGAUACCAGCUGGCUGCAACUGUUUAAUAAAAACACAGCACUGUGCAAACACGAAAGUGGACGUAUACGGUGUGACGCCUGCCCGGUGCUGGAAGGUUAAUUGAUGGGGUCAGCCGCAAGGCGAAGCUCUUGAUCGAAGCCCCAGUAAACGGCGGCCGUAACUAUAACGGUCCUAAGGUAGCGAAAUUCCUUGUCGGGUAAGUUCCGACCUGCACGAAUGGCGUAAUGAUGGCCAGGCUGUCUCCACCCGAGACUCAGUGAAAUUGAACUCGCUGUGAAGAUGCAGUGUACCCGCGGCAAGACGGAAAGACCCCGUGAACCUUUACUAUAGCUUGACACUGAACAUUGAGCCUUGAUGUGUAGGAUAGGUGGGAGGCAUUGAAGUGUGGACGCCAGUCUGCAUGGAGCCAACCUUGAAAUACCACCCUUUAAUGU
rnacentral:rRNA from 1 species